rnacentral:lncRNA from 1 species
AUGUUCAAGGAGAAAGGACAGCCUCAUGACUUGAUGGAAUGGAUGUCACCAUCACAUUGUAAGAAAAACAUAUGGAAUGGGAUUUGGUGGCCAUCUUUGAAAAAUUCCUUCUGCUACACACCUACAGUAACAACAAUUCAAAAGUGGAGGAGGACAUCUCUUGAUGUGCCUAAGAAGUUCGCCUGCACAGAUUACAUCUGUGAAACUGGCCAAGGAUCACGUUCUGUGCAGAACAGCCUGCCUGGGAACAGAGACCAAGACAAAAGGAGGAUGAGAGACCUCGGAGGCAGGGACAGAUGGGAUGGGAAAACCUUAUGGAAACUGCUUCUAUUUUUUGGAUCUUGGACUGUUGCUGCUUUGAAUGCAGUGCUCUCUGGAGAUUGAGCUUUCUAGCAAUUUUAAAUAAAUGAAAUGUACAACUGUAGGUUCUUGUGAAGUAGAAAUUUCUUUGGAAUAAAGUGAAAGAAAGAAAUUAUGAUGUCUUAUUGAUUCUAGAACACACUUUUACUUUUUAAAAAUUGCUAACAUUUUUAAUUGAAGUCUCAUUGAUUUACAGUAUUAUACUGAUUUCAGGUAUGCAGCACAGUGAUCCAUUAUUUUUAUAGAUUGCUGCUGCUGCUAAGUCGCUUCAGUCGUGUCCCAAUCUGUGUGACCCCAUAGACAGCAGCCCACCAGGCUCCCCUGUCCAUGGGA